AGGAAGCGAGAGGGAGACAGCCUUGAGUGAACGGACAUGCUGCAGAAACAUACUGAGAAAAAGACUGUUUUCUGAGGGAAAAUACUGUUUUUCCCUCCAUGAGCUGGGGCUGGCCAUGCCUAGAGAGAGACAACGCUGAAACAGCUCAAGUGCGGGCUGUUCGCAACUGACAGUGGACACCGGAGCAAGCGGGCCGUCUUCAGAGGCGAAACCAUGCAGUGUUCUGGAUCUGACUGAUGUUUGACAAGGUUUACCUGGACCCACAAGACUCUCCUCAAGAAGGUAUUGUGGGACAGGAGCCAUACUUUUGCCAAGCGAUGGUCUGAAGACAACACAGCAGCAUCAGAAAAGAUUCAGUAUCCACAGGAUGACUUCUGUGACCUGAGAGCCUACAUUACCAGCUGACACAUCUUCAGUAGAAAAUAAACCCUUUAGACUGGUGGAGGACAUGAUCUGGACAGUUAACAUCUGCUCUGCCCUACUUAGGCAAAAGAACUUAACUCACCAGAGUGUGAAACUGAGAAAAAUGACUUUAAAGUUAUCUUAAUGUCCUGACAAUUGAGUCAUAUGUAUUAUAUUGUAAUUUUCACAUUUUGUAGUGUAUACCUGUAUUAAUCUAUCUACAAAAAAAUGUUGAACUCAAAUUUGACCUUUGACCCUUUUUCGGAAGUUACUGUAUUCUGCCUUAGCUUUGCCCACAUACCAGGCAAAGGCAAAAUACCUUCUAUUUUAUAGCACAAUGUUAUGAUAACAAUGAUAACUUUUACUUAACAUGUAAGCAAUAUUAACCCUAUUGGACUCACUAUGAUAAAAAGGGCUUCACAUUUAUCAACAUCAUAUGAAAAUGAUAUAUCAAUACGUUUUUUUCUGUAUUUUAUACUCAUACUAGUACCACACAGGCAGUCGCAUGAUUGAUUCACACACUCUCUCGGACAGAUGUCAGAAUUAAGAAUGAGUUUGCUUGAUGUUGAUGUUUUAAUGCAUAUAAGGCAUGUUCUUCUGUUUGGAUAUGAGGGACUAAUUUAGACUCAUUGCAACAAUGAAGACGUGAACAUAAAGAUGCAGUCAUUCACGUUCAUAUUAAGUAGCCAUGUUGGUUUGUUUUGGUCUUAUAAUACAUCCAUAGAUGCUCUGCAGAGAGGAUGGUUAGGCUACUUUAGCCAGCAGUUUAGGGGCCAUCCACACAGUUUUUUUUAGUUUACAAGAAUUUGUCAAAAUUUCAAGAUUUGUGGCAAAAGGUGAUAUGUCUGAUUUAAUGCAUGUAAAAGGGUCAAACACUAAGUCCAUUUAACAUCAUGACUAUACAAAUGUAAUCCUUAACGACUGGUAAUAGUGACAGUAAGCAACACAAAACAUUUGUUUAACAGUUAAACUUUAUUGUUUUGACAGAUGACAAUAUGAAUAAAACUAAAGUAUUUUUGAAAGGGUAUUACAUCUAAUCUGCAGCUUGAAAAACAUUUCACAGCAUAAAUAUGACAAUAAUGGACGAAUAAAAACUUAAAGUGAAAAUCUCA